rnacentral:rRNA from 1 species
GAUGAACGCUAGCGGCAGGCUUAACACAUGCAAGUCGAGGGGCAGCGUGGGAUAGAAAUAUCCUGGCGUCGACCGGCGGAGGGGUGCGUAACUCGUGAGCGACAUACCUGCCGCCCGGGGACAACCGGUGGAAACGCCGACUAAUCCCCGAUGGGUUAUUGUGCCGCAUGGCACGAUAUUUGAAGUUACGGCGGCGUCGGGUUGACUCGCGUCCGAUUGGCUGGUUGGCGGGGUAACGGCCCACCAAGGCGGCGAUCGGUAGGGGUUCUGAGAGGAAGGCCCGCCACUAUGGGAGUGAGACACGGCCCAUACGCCUUCGGGAGGCAGCAGUGAGGAAUAGUGGUGAAUGAGCGGAAGCCUGAAGCAGCCAUGCCGCGGGCGGAAAGAAGGCCGUAUGGGCUGUGAACCGCUUUUGCCUGUUGGAAAUAAGGGCGUCGCGCACGGCCGAUGAGAGUACCAGGCGAAUAAGCAUCGGCUAACUCCGUG